rnacentral:lncRNA from 1 species
UUUUUUUUUUUUUGAGAGAUAGGUAGCACGCUACCCGCUUCGUUUAUUUCAUUUAGAAAUAAACUUAGCUAGAAAUGUGAAUCAGCUAGAAUUCGAACUUGGGUCUCGAGUACCAACCACAAAGCCCUUUGCCACUUGCUCUAGGGACAGUCGGUGACGAACAGAAUGUUUAAAGUUUGUAUUGUACGUGAUGUGAUCGAAGUAGAAACAAAUAAACUUCUGAU